GCCUGGGUGGCUCAGUCGGUUGAGCGUCCGACUUCAGCUCAGGUCAUGAUCUCACGGCCCGUGGGUUCAAGCCCCGCGUCGGGCU
rnacentral:tRNA from 1 species